rnacentral:antisense_RNA from 1 species
CUUGAUCGAGCCCAGCAGCAGGGGCCGCUCCCGGCCGGUCCCGUAGGCGGCCAGCAGCGCCUGCGCCUC